GUUCAACUGACGAGUCUCUAAUAAGACGAAACACGAUUUCUGAAU
rnacentral:hammerhead_ribozyme from 1 species